rnacentral:rRNA from 1 species
AUUGAACGCUGGCGGCAUGCCUUACACAUGCAAGUCGAACGGUAACAGGUCUUCGGAUGCUGACGAGUGGCGAACGGGUGAGUAAUACAUCGGAACGUGCCCGAUCGUGGGGGAUAACGAAGCGAAAGCUUUGCUAAUACCGCAUAAGAUCUAAGGAUGAAAGCAGGGGACCGCAAGGCCUUGCGCGAACGGAGCGGCCGAUGGCAGACUAGGUAGUUGGUGGGAUAAAAGCUUACCAAGCCGACGAUCUGUAGCUGGUCUGAGAGGACGACCAUCCACACUGGGAGUGAGAGACGGCCCAGACUCCUACGGGAGGCAGAAGUGGGGAAUUGUGGACAAUGGGAGAAAGCCUGAUCCAGCCAUGCGGCGUUCAGGAUGACGAACGUCGGUUUGUAAUCUGCUUUUGUACGGAACGAAAAGACUCUUGCUAAUAAAGAGGGUCCAUGACGGUACCGUAAGACUAAGCACCGGAUAACUACGUGCCAGCAGCCGCGGUAA